GGUGAGGUGGAUGAGUGGUCGAAAUCAGCUCACUGCUAACGAGUCAGGCGAGAGAUCGCCUCGAGGGUUCGAAUCCCUCCCUCACCG
rnacentral:tRNA from 2 species